GACGAACGCUGGCGGCGUGCUUAACACAUGCAAGUCGAACGGUAAGGCCCUUCGGGGUCCACGAGUGGCGAACGGGUGAGUAACACGUGGGUAAUCUGCCCUGCACAUCGGGAUAAGCCUGGGAAACUGGGUCUAAUACCGAAUAGGACCACAGGACACAUGUCCUGUGGUGGAAAGCUUUUGCGGUGUGGGAUGGGCCCGCGGCCUAUCAGCUUGUUGGUGGGGUGAUGGCCCACCAAGGCGACGACGGGUAGCCGGCCUGAGAGGGUGUCCGGCCACACUGGGACUGAGAUACGGCCCAGACUCCUACGGGAGGCAGCAGUGGGGAAUAUUGCACAAUGGGCGAAAGCCUGAUGCAGCGACGCCGCGUGGGGGAUGACGGCCUUCGGGUUGUAAACCUCUUUCACCAUCGACGAAGGUCCGGGUUUUCUCGGGCUGACGGUAGGUGGAGAAGAAGCACCGGCCAACUACGUG
rnacentral:rRNA from 1 species